GGUCAACGUUGGGUCAAGAGUGGACAUUGGGUCAAGAACGGUCAGCGUUGGGUCAAGAACGGACAUUGGGCCAAGAGCGGUCAUCGUUGGGUCAAGAGAGGUCAACGUUGGGUCAAGAGUGGACAUUGAGCCAAGACCGGUCACCAUUGGGUCACGACCGGACAUUGGACCAAGACCGGUCACCAUUGGGUCAUGACCGGUCAUCAUUGACCUUGGACCA
rnacentral:lncRNA from 1 species